AGACCCGAAACCCGGUGAUCUAGCCAUGGGCAGGUUGAAGGUUGGGUAACACUAACUGGAGGACCGAACCGACUAAUGUUGAAAAAUUAGCGGAUGACCUGUGGCUGGGGGUGAAAGGCCAAUCAAACCGGGAGAUAGCUGGUUCUCCCCGAAAGCUAUUUAGGUAGCGCCUCGUGAAUUCAUCUCCGGGGGUAGAGCACUGUUUCGGCUAGGGGGCCAUCCCGGCUUACCAACCCGAUGCAAACUGCGAAUACCGGAGAAUGUUAUCACGGGAGACACACGGCGGGUGCUAACGUCCGUCGUGAAGAGGGAAACAACCCAGACCGCCAGCUAAGGUCCCAAAGUCAUGGUUAAGUGGGAAACGAUGUGGGAAGGCCCAGACAGCCAGGAUGUUGGCUUAGAAGCAGCCAUCAUUUAAAGAAAGCGUAAUAGCUCACUGGUCGAGUCGGCCUGCGCGGAAGAUGUAACGGGGCUAAACCAUGCACCGAAGCUGCGGCAGCGACACUCAGGUGUUGUUGGGUAGGGGAGCGUUCUGUAAGCCUGUGAAGGUGUGUCGUGAGGCAUGCUGGAGGUAUCAGAAGUGCGAAUGCUGACAUAAGUAACGAUAAAGCGGGUGAAAAGCCCGCUCGCCGGAAGACCAAGGGUUCCUGUCCAACGUUAAUCGGGGCAGGGUGAGUCGACCCCUAAGGCGAGGCCGAAAGGCGUAGUCGAUGGGAAACGGGUUAAUAUUCCCGUACUUGGUGUUACUGCGAAGGGGGGACGGAGAAGGCUAUGUUGGCCGGGCGACGGUUGUCCCGGUUUAAGCGUGUAGGUGUGUGUUCCAGGUAAAUCCGGUUCACUUUAACACUGAGGCGUGAUGACGAGGCACUACGGUGCUGAAGCAACAAAUGCCCUGCUUCCAGGAAAAGCCUCUAAGCAUCAGGUAACAUCAAAUCGUACCCCAAACCGACACAGGUGGUCAGGUAGAGA
rnacentral:rRNA from 1 species